UGCCAGCAGCCGCGGUAAUACGGAGGGUGCAAGCGUUAUCCGGAUUUAUUGGGUUUAAAGGGUCCGUAGGCGGACGAUUAAGUCAGUGGUGAAAUCCAACAGCUCAACUGUUGAACUGCCUUUGAUACUGGCAAACUUGAGUUAUUGUGAAGUAGUUAGAAUGUGUAGUGUAGCGGUGAAAUGCAUAGAUAUUACACAGAAUACCAAUUGCGAAGGCAGAUUACUAACAAUUAACUGACGCUGAGGGACGAAAGCGUGGGUAGCAAACAGGAUUAGAUA
rnacentral:rRNA from 1 species